rnacentral:rRNA from 1 species
CCUACGGGGGGCAGCAGUAAGGAAUAUUGGUCAAUGGACGAAAGUCUGAACCAGCCAUCCCGCGUGCAGGAUGAAAGCCCUAUGGGUUGUAAACUGCUUUUAGCAGAGAAGAAAAGCUUUCAUUAAUGAGAGUCUGACGGUAUCUGCAGAAUAAGCACCGGCUAACUACGUGCCAGCAGCCGCGGUAAUACGGAGGGUGCGAGCGUUAUCCGGAAUUACUGGGUUGAAAGGGUAGUAUGGCGGAAGUGUAGAAAUCUUGUCGCUUAACGAGAAACUUGCCAAUGAUACUGGUACUCUUGAAGUGGGUUGAGGUUAGCGGAAUGUGACAUGUAGCGGUGAAAUGCAUAGAUAUGUCAUGGAACACCAAUUGCGAAGGCAGCUAACUGGGCCUUGAUUGACGCUGAGGCACGAAAGCGUGGGUAGCGAACAGGAUUAGAUACCCCUGUAGUC